AGCAGCCGCGGUAAUUCCAGCUCCAAUAGCGUAUAUUAAAGUUGCUGCAGUUAAAAAGCUCGUAGUUGAAUUUCGGGAUCAAUAUGUUGGUCGUGCCUCGGUACGUAUUAGCUUAUUGGUUUCUUCCUUCUGACGAACCAUGAUGUCAUUUAUUUGGUGUCGUGGGGAAUCAGGACUGUUACUUUGAAAAAAAUUAGAGUGUUUAAAGCAGGCUCACGCUUGAAUACAUUAGCAUGGAAUAAUGAAAUAGGACGUUUGAUUCUAUUUUGUUGGUUUCUAGGAUCGACGUAAUGAUUAAUAGGGAUAGUUGGGGGCAUUAGUAUUCAAUUGUCAGAGGUGAAAUUCUUGGAUUUAUUGAAGACUAACUACUGCGAAAGCAUUUGCCAAGGAUGUUUUCAUUAAUCAAGAACGAAAGUUAGGGGAUCGAAGACGAUCAGAUACCGUCGUAGUCUUAACCAUAAACUAUGCCGACUAGGGAUCGGAUGAUGUUAAUUUUUUAAUGACUCAUUCGGCGCCUUAC
rnacentral:rRNA from 1 species